AUUGAACGCUGGCGGCAUGCCUUACACAUGCAAGUCGAACGGUAACAGGUCUUCGGAUGCUGACGAGUGGCGAACGGGUGAGUAAUACAUCGGAACGUGCCUAGUAGUGGGGGAUAACUACUCGAAAGAGUGGCUAAUACCGCAUGAGAUCUACGGAUGAAAGCAGGGGAUCGCAAGACCUUGUGCUACUAGAGCGGCCGAUGGCAGAUUAGGUAGUUGGUGGGAUAAAAGCUUACCAAGCCGACGAUCUGUAGCUGGUCUGAGAGGACGAUCAGCCACACUGGGACUGAGACACGGCCCAGACGCCUACGGGAGGCAGCAGUGGGGAAUUUUGGAACAUGGGCGCAAGCCUGAUCCAGCAAUGCCGCGUGCAGGAUGAAGGCCUUCGGGUUGCAAACUGCUUUUGUACGGAACGAAAAGCCCCGGGUUAAUACCCUGGGGUCAUGACGGUACCGUAAGAAUAAGCACCGGCUAACUACGUGCCAGCCGCCGCGGUAA
rnacentral:rRNA from 1 species